AUUGAACGCUGGCGGCAGGCCUAACACAUGCAAGUCGAACGGUAACAGGAAGCAGCUUGCUGCUUCGCUGACGAGUGGCGCACGGGUGAGUAAUGUCCGGGAAGCUGCCUGAUUUCGGGGGAUAACUACUGGAAACGCUAGCUCAUACCGCAUAAUCUCGCAAGACCAAAGAGCAGGACCUUCUGGCCUCUUGCCAUCUGAUGUGCCCAGAUGGGAUUAGCUCGUUGGUGGGGUAACGGCUCACCAAGGCGACGAUCCCUAGCUGGUCUGAGAGGAUGACCAGCCACACUGGAACUGAGACACGGUCCAGACUCCUACGGGAGGCAGCAGUGGGGAAUAUUGCACAAUGGGCGCAAGCCUGAUGCAGCCAUGCCGCGUGUAUGAAGAAGGCCUUCGGGUUGUAAAGUACUUUCGGCGGGGAGGAAGGGAGGAAAGUUAAUACCUUUGCGCAUUGACGUUACCCGCAGAAGAAGCACCGGCUAACUCCGUG
rnacentral:rRNA from 1 species